UUGCACGCUGGCGGAAUGCUUUACCCAUGCCAGUCGAACGGUAGAGGGGGCAACCCCUUGAGAGUGGCGAACGGGUGAGUAAUAUAUCGGAACGUGCCCAGUCGCGGGGGAUAACGUAGCGAAAGUUACGCUAAUACCGCAUACGAUCUAAGGAUGAAAGCGGGGGAUCGCAAGACCUCGCGCGACUGGAGCGGCCGAUAUCAGAUUAGGUAGUUGGUAGGGUAAAGGCCUACCAAGCCAACGAUCUGUAGCUGGUCUGAGAGGACGACCAGCCACACUGGAACUGAGACACGGUCCAGACUCCUACGGGAGGCAGCAGUGGGGAAUUUUGGACAAUGGGCGAAAGCCUGAUCCAGCCAUUCCGCGUGCAGGAUGAAGGCCCUCGGGUUGUAAACUGCUUUUGUACAGAACGAAAAGGUUUCUAUUAAUACGAGGAGCUCAUGACGGUACUGUAAGAAUAAGCACCGGCUAACUACGUG
rnacentral:rRNA from 1 species